UACGGAGGGAGCUAGCGUUGUUCGGAAUUACUGGGCGUAAAGCGUGCGUAGGCGGUUAUUCAAGUCAGAGGUGAAAGCCCGGGGCUCAACCCCGGAACGGCCUUUGAAACUAGGUAACUAGAAUCUUGGAGAGGUUAGUGGAAUUCCGAGUGUAGAGGUGAAAUUCGUAGAUAUUCGGAAGAACACCAGUGGCGAAGGCGACUUCCUGGCCUGUUCUUGACGCUGAGGCGCGAAAGCUAGGGUAGCAAACGGG
rnacentral:rRNA from 1 species